GUUUUUAUACGACCGCAAAAAAAUUUUUGUGGUCGUAUAUUGGUAUGACGUUGGCGUCGUCGUCGUCGUCGUUGUCGUCCGGCGUCGUCGUCCGAAUACACAUUAGUUUUCGCACUCUAACUUUAGUUUAAGUGAAUGGAUCUCAUUGAAAUUUUACCAUAAGGUUCAAUACCACAAAAGGAAGGUGGGGAUUGAUUUUGGGGGUUAUGGUACUAACAGUUAAGGAAUUAGGGGCCAAAAGGGGCCAAAAAUAAGCAUUUUUGUAACUUCCAGACAUAACUUGUGUGUAAGUGUAUGGAUCUCUCUGACAUUGUACCACAAGGUUCCAUAUCACAAAGGGAAUGCUGGGAUUGAUUUUGGGGGUAAUUGUCUCCAAAUUUUAGGAAUUAGGGGCCAAAAAGGGGCAAAAAACAAGCAUUUUUCUAGUUUCAUGACAAUAACUUGUUUGUAAGUGUAUGGAUCUUUAUGAAAUUGUACUACAAGGUUCCAUAUCACAAAGGGAAUACUGGGAUUGAUUUUUGGGGUAAUUUCCACCAAAUAUUAGGAAUUAGGGGCCAAAAAGGGGCAAAAAACAAGCAUUUUUCUAGUUUCAUGACAAUAACUUGUUUGUAAGUGUAUGGAUCUUUAUGAAAUUGUACUACAAGGUUCCAUAUCACAAAGGGAAAGCUGGAAUUGAGUUUGGGGGUAAUUGCCCUAAACGUUUAGGAAUUUGGGGCCAAAAAGGGGCCAAAAAAACAAGCAUUUUUCUAGUUUCCAGACAAUAACUUGUGUUCAAGUGUAUGAAUCUCUCUGAAAUUGUACUGCAAGGUACCAUACCACAAAGGGAAAGCUGGGAUUGAGUUUGGGGGCGAUGAAUCAUAAGGGGGUUCAAAAAAUUGGGGGGGGGGAUUUUUUUUUUCCUUUUUUUUCUUUAACAUUUUCCAUUUUAAAUUGGUUAUUUCUGAUUUAUAUAUAAAAGCAAAUAAUAAUGAUAUGGUUUGAAUAGGCAUACAUGUGAACCUCCCGACGGGAGUACAAUAAUCCCGUUUUCAGGGGUCUCCUCCCCCCCUCCCGUUGAAAAAAUCCCGUGUAUGAAAUUUUUCAUGAAUGAAAAAUUUCUGCCCAACAUAACAUCUCAGGCAUCUGGUGUAACUGACAUUACCUGAAGUUAUAUUUUACCUGUAAAUCAAUUAACAUGCAUAAUUAUAUGGCUUCACUUGUCAGCUUGGGUGUCAAACAUACUGGUAAGCAACGAUUUUUACCUCAGGCUAACUGCCGUUGUGUAACAAAAACUGUGUAUUUAUUGGGUUACUUCCCUUGAUUUAUCCUGUUUUAAGUUACUUUCCUUUUAAUAAUGAAAAUUUUUAAAAGAAUAUAAAUAAAAUAUAAAUUGAACAAAUAAUCAUAAAAGGAUGGUUAUUAAAUGAUUUUAAAUGUCUUAGGACAAAUAAAAAAAUAAUAAUUUGAAAAUUAUUUGAGGAUUCUAUACUUCCUUUUAAGGCUUAAAUUGAAAUUUAUAUAAUAACUAUGACCCUAACUUUACAGAUAGAAUGAAUUUCUGAGUUUUCAAAUAAAAACUAUUUGCAAGAGAAAAAAAAAAAAAUAAAAACUAUUU